UUUUUUUUUUUUUUUAGGGUCAUUUAUAAAGGUUAAUAUUUUACUUUAAUAAUUUAAAUGGGUCAAUUCAAAACUCAAAGGGCAAUUAUGUACUCUUACUAGGGAUUUUGUUGUUCAAGUUUGCAAACUAAUUGAAUCACACUCUUAUCUACCUAUAUUUAUUGCAAGCAUGAGGGGUGUAAAUACAAAUUACCCUAUAUUUUAUGGACAAAUGCAACACUACACUCUCAAGUGUAUACACUCAAAUUAGGCAAUUUAUGUGUCUGAUCCAUGACAGAUUUAUAUCAGUAAAGAGGAAUCCUAUCUCUCUCCUCAUCUGUCUCCUCUCUCUCUAGAGUGGACGAUUUGACGAAGAGAGGAAUCGUUGACGAUCCGCUUGCAGAUUGAUUCCUCUCGGCAUGCAGAUUUGAAAUUUUACACCGUGGAUGAAGCCAAGAAGCUGUUUCCAACUUACUCAUCAGGAUCCAUCAUCUUCAGAAUUUAGUAUAAUUUUCAAUCUACAUCAAAGAACACCUAGCUCUCUAGUUCGGUUAAGUAGAUCAAAAUAAUGGCAGGAACUGCGGUGAGCUUUGUUAUUAGCAAUUUGGCCCCACUGCUAACCAACGAAGCCAAAUUGUUGACAGACGUGCACAAAGAAGUAGCCAGCUUUAGAGAUGAAUUGGAGUACAUACUGUGUUUCUUGGAGGAUGCAGAUGCUAGGGCAGGAAAAAAAAAAAAAGGACAUAGGUCUGCUACUUUGGGUUAAAGAUGUAAGAAAAGUUUCUUAAAGGAUUGAAGAUGUUAUUGAUGAGUAUGUACUUCACGUGGCAAAGGAAACAUCAUCAGCAUGAUUUCAUGGCUUUCUAUAGAAAUCUAGUUCGAUUCGUCGUUAUUGUAACAGCUUCUGAGAUUCAAGAGAUAAAAACCACUUUAAGUAACAUUAAGCAAAGAGCUGACAGGUUUGGAUUCAGUUCCUUAGAACAAGCAUCAAGCAGUGGCAUUAAAGAUAGCACAUGGCUUGACCCUCGGGUGGCUUCCCGUUUCAUAUCUGAAAAUGAAGUUCUAGGUAUUGAAUCUGUCAGAGAUGAAUUGACAAGCAAGCUUUUGGCAGAACAACCGAUGCGCAGGGUGAUUUCAGUUGUGGGCAUGGGUGGACUGGGAAAGACUACUCUGGCCAAGAAGCUUUAUGACAGCCUGAUUGGACACUUUGACUGUCAUGCUUGGAUUGGUGUCCCUCAGUACAAGAUGGAGGAUCUCCUCAAAACAAUGGUGAAGCAAUUCUACGAAUCAAGAAAAUUUAAUUUUCCUGAAGAAAUUGACUCAAUGAAGGAAGUUGAGCUCAUUGAAAUGUUAAGGAGAUAUCUAGGACUGAAGAGCUAUUUGGUGGUUUUUGACGAUGUGUUUAAAGUGAAUUUUUGGAAUUUUAUAAGCCUUGCUCUAUCCAAGAACGACAAAUGCAGUCGAGUAAUCAUUACUACUCCCGAUUGUAAUUUUGCAUCUUCUUGCGAAGAAUCUUCAUUUGAUUACAUGCACCUACUGAAGCCUCUAUCUGUCCAGACACGGAGUGGGAACUCUUUUGCCGGAAAACAUUCCAAAAGGACUUUGGGGAUCGCUGUCCGCCAGUGCUGAAGGAAAUUUCUCUUCAAAUUGUUGAGAAGUGUGAAGGGUUGCCGCUUGCAAUUGUGGCAAUAGGCGGAUUUUUGUCAAGCAAAAAAAUGGUUUUAUUCGAACUGGAAAAGUUGUAUUACAGCAUUUCUUCUGAGUUGCAGUGUAUCAGAUGUUCCCCAUUUGCAUUUGCCAAUCCUCCAACACCCAACUUCCUCAACUCUCUCAAAUUUCCCAGUUCUCUAGUUAUCCCUAUAUCAUCUGCCUGCACAAAAUGCAGCUUCUGCAGCUCCUUUAAAGUCGAAUCCCUUUGUGCACCUUCACUCCACUCAACAACAAAUUGGCAAACAAGCCAUCCAUUUUUUUUGGUGGACCAAUAGAUGUCGUAGUUUCUAAAACUCAUAAAUCUCAAUUGGUAGCUCAUCCACGAGGGAAUAUCUCAGAUCUAAAGUCUGUUAGUUGUGUAGCAUCCCCAUGGAAUUUGGAAGUAUCUUCACUUCCGUAUUCCUCACAGUACCUCAAAUGGUAUAGGUCCCCAUCUUGUUGUGGAAUAUUAUCCAUAGGAGCACCUUCAAGAUCUAACACCUUUACUAACUUCAGUUUUGCAAACAAUGAUCCGAAAAAUUUAGGCAGCACUUGGUCCACUCCAAAAACAAAACAGGAACGAGCAUGAACAUCAUCAAUGGUUUUUAGAGCAUUAUAAAUAUCGUUGUGAAAACACAAUCGCCGAGGUUGUCCAUCAAAACUUGAGUCCUCCGCCACAACUUCACUAAAACUCAACUCCUUAGCUUUUGUAGUGAUGAUGACAUGAAUGAAACCAUGCACUCGGCACCUACGGGGCAUUUGAAUCAAUAGUUGCGUUGACGCAGAUGCUUAAUUCAAGAUGUACGGGCUAAUUCACAGACGCUUAACUCAACCUUGGACAAUUCUGAAUUCUCAGCCUCCGCUCUCUCAAAGUUGAGAAAUUGAUUAUUCCUGCCAUCGCUGAGCACAUGCAUACAUGGACUGUAGUUUUUGGCUUCAAUCCGCUUGAGGAAUCACACAAACAAGAAAUGAGGACCAUGAAUGCAAUUACUGAGGGAAGAAAUUACUGAGGGAAGAAAUUACUGAGGGAAACACACUUUCCAACUCAGAUCAAACUUCAGUCAGCUGAACUAUAGUGGCUUCUAUACUGCUAUUUUGGAGAGGGGUGAUGAAAUAAUUUCUGCAGCAUCCAUCAGGACCCGUGGGACCCAGCUUGCAGAGAUGCCAUUCAUUGGGACACGCCAUAUAUACAGACGCCAAGGGAUGAUGCGCCGGCUUCUUUGUGCCAUUGAAUCGGCACUCUGCUCUCUCAAAGUUGAGAAAUUGAUUAUUCCUGCCAUCGCUGAGCACAUGCAUACAUGGACUAUAGUUUUUGGCUUCAAUCCGCUUGAGGAAUCACACAAACAAGAAAUGAGGACCAUGAAUAUGUUGGUGUUUCCUGGUACAGAUAUAUUAUAGAAGCUGCUGGUGGAGCAAGAAAUUACUGAAGGAAACACACUUCCCUAAAACUCAACUCCUUAGCUUUUGUAGUGAUGAUGACAUGAAUCAAACCAUGCACUUGGCAAUUACGGGCUUUUGAAUCAAUAUUUCUUAAUUCAAGAUCUACGGGCUAAUUCACAAAAGCUUAAUUCAAGUGUCAGACGCAAGUAUUGAUUCAAAAGCCCGUAGUUACCGAAUGCAUGGUUUGAUUCAUGUCAUCAUCACUACAAAAGCUAAGGAUUUGAGUUUUAGUGAAGUUGUGGCGGAGGACUCAAGUUUUGAUGGACAACCUCGGCGAUUGUGUUUUCACAAUGAUAUAUAUAAUGCUCUAGAAACCAUUGAUGAUGUUCAUGCUCAUUCCUGUUUUGUUGGAGUGGACCAAGUGCUGCCUAAAUUUUUCGGAUCAUUGUUUGCAAAACUGAAGUUAGUAAAGGUGUUAGAUCUUGAAGGUGCUCCUAUGGAUAAUAUUCCACAAGAAGUUGGGGACCUAUACCAUUUGAGGUAAUUCAGUGUGAGGAACACGAAAGUGAAGAUACUUCCAAAGUCCAUGGGAAUGCUACACAACUUACAGACUUUAGAUCUGAGAUAUUCCCUCGUGGAUGAGCUACCAAUUGAGAUUUAUGAGCUUCAGAAACUACGACAUCUAUUGGUGUACCCAAAAAAAAUGGAUGGCUUGUUUGCCAAUUUCUUGUUGAGUGAAGGUGCACAAAGGGAUUCGACAUUUAAAGGAGCUGUAGAAGCUGCAUUUUGUGCAGGCAGAUGAUAUAAGGGAUAACUAGAGAACUGGGAUAUUUGAAAGAGUUGAGGAAGUUGGGUGUCGGAGCAUUGACAAAUGUAAAUGGGGAACAUCUGAUGGCCUCCAUUGCAAAUAUGAAAUGGCCUCCAUUGCGAAUAUGAAACAUCUUAGAAGUCUUUAUGUACUACAAUCAUUUGGGACAUUGAAUAUAGAAUCUGUAUCAUCCCCGCCUCAACGUCUUCGAAGUCUCCACUUGUCUGGAUAUUUAAAGAAGUUGGCUGGAUUCCGAAACUUUAAAAUCUAGUCACUUUGUGUAUGAGCUUUUCCAGAUUACUUGAUGAUCCGCUAGAAGCCUUGCAAGCUUUGCUGAAUCUAAUGUGCCUGAAUCUGUAUAUGGGAUGCAUACAUUUCGGCUUGUGUUUCAAGGCAAAUGGCUUUCAGAAACUUAAGCAGGUAACUCUAAUGGACAUGGGUAUGCUAAGUUCAUUAAUUAUAGAGGAAGGAACUUUGCCUCUUCUGGAAGUACUACAUAUUGGGCUUUGCAUGUAUAUGUUAGGUGCCCCCUGGCAUUCGACACCUCAGAAAACAGAGAACUCUGGCUUAUUGAAAUGCAAAAGGGAUUCUUCGACAGAGUGCACCCACAGACACGAAUAGAUCAUUGGCUCAUUGUGCAUGUACCAUCUGUAAUGGAAGUGAAACCUUGAAACCCACAUAACCAAGUGACAGAUUGCAACAAAAAAUGGAAAGAUUGAACAAGAAUUAUGGGAACCCAUGGAAGUGGAACUUGCUACUUUUAAAGUGGAUUUUUUUUUUCUUCUGUUAGUUGAAUUUCCUGUCUUUGCUUUUCUGAUGUUGAGAGGAUGUACUUUGGUAUGGGAAUGCUUGGGGCUAAAUGUUUUCUUUCCUUUUUUUCUCCCUCUUAUAUUCUUCUUUUCGUAAAGCCAGGACCUGAAUCUGCUCAUCUACUUGCUUAAUAUUGGUAAUUGUUGUUAUCGUAAUUUAAGUUUAUAUAUGCAUUCAAGUUUUGGUAAAUUGGAAAAGGAGGUUUUAAUAUCAGGAAAAUCCAGGAUCUGGACUGUGCUUCUAAAAUAUGUCUUUGUUGGGGAUAUGUUGGGAUAAACUAUGGGUUCAGUGGUUUCAUUCUAAAUAUUUGGCCAAGGCUUCUUUCUGGACUGUGAUCUUGAUUCUGUAUUUGAAACUUCUGACAAAAUAUGACUGAGUUGGGAAGUGAAUCACACGAGUACAGAAAUCGUUUCUGAUUCUUGUAGAAACUGAAGGAUUGAUGCCUUUGUACAAGUUAUUGGGGAUCUGUUCCUCUUUGAUCUGAUCUUGAACCCAUUGCUGAGGACUAUAACCACAAUGCUUUUUUUCACAGAAUGCUGAAAUGCUGCUUUUAUAGGUGAAUGCAGGUGAUUUUUUGAUAGGUCCAUGUGAUCCACAAUUUGUGUUGCUGUAAUGGGUCCUGUAUCUUACGAGGAAUUAGUGGAUUCUGUUCUGUUCAUGGCACUUGGAGAACCUGCCAUGCUUCUCAAAGGCUUUGUAAUUUCGGGUUGCUGCCGAGUCCUGGAGCUCAGAUUAGGUGCUUGUAGGGAAAAUGCAGGUCAGUAUUGGAUUAAUGCUAACGACAAACGAAAUCUGCAGAAAGAAGUUAGUCCUGUUAUUUGAUGAGGUAUGAAUAUCCACAUUCUUUGAACUGCGUUCAUCUUUCGGUGCAGCUGGAUGUAAUCCCAAGAUCAGCUCCUUCGGUGGUACGAUUGUAGUGAUUCAUAAUAAGAUUUUUGGACUGAGCUUGACUGGAUCUUGCUCCUCUUUUUGGGAUUUUGUGAAAUCAGGGCAGUAUCCAAUCUGAACAUGCCAUAAUGUUUAGUCGGAUAUAUUUUAUCUUAUAGCUUGAUGCUGACGGUGUUUUGAAGCCCUAUGGCAUGCAUUAAGUCAAAACUUGGAGAUUAGAUUAUUAUUUCCUUGUUCUCAGUAUGAUUGCUUUAGCCAGGAAUGAAAUAUUGAUGCAAUGCCCUGUAAUCAAUCGUUUCUGUUGUAUAAAUAUUGUUAAUAUUGUAAUUCUGAGACGCUGUCAACUAAGGAUUCUGCACACCAACCUUCCCUUUAUAAUUCUGAGAAAGUAAAAAAGCUAAAUAAAGCUAAUACAUUUGCUUGCAUAAUUUGGGAAGAGGUCUAAUCCAAUCGCAAU